AGACUAGGCUGAAGCCACCAUAUCUAAAAGUGAUGAAAGCAUGUAAACAGGGUCAACAAAAGUCAGGAAAAGGUCCCUCAGGGGAAGGAACCGAGUCGUUAAGGAAACAAGGGGGCAAAACUUGGGCCUGAGCACAUAGGAAUGCCCUCCCCAAAUCUCACCAACAGCUAAAAAACAAAGGAGUACAUGAAAGGCCCCUCCUCAUCACAAAGCAAGGAUUUGGAGGGAUAAAAGGGGUCCUAAAGCCUGCCCACUUUUUAAAGUCGUUUUUGGAUCCAGACUUGGUGACUUCUAUCCCUGGCAGCCUAGUGAGGGAUGUUGGCUUUGUUGUACACUACCCAGUUGCUUUUGAUGAGAUAAGCAUCUAGGAUGAAUAGAUGGAUGGAUGGAUGAAGGUAGGUAUGUGAGAAGAAUGGAUCCACUAUCUUUUCCUUGAACUUGUUGCUGUUGGAAACAACUGGGUGGGAAAGAAGCAGCUGAAAGAUGGGAGAAUACGUUAAGGACAAAAGCAAAAUUGUCUCACGCUAAGACUGUAGUGGAAAGCAAGAUAAUUAAUAUUCACCAGAAUAAAGAGGAAAUUGCUCCAAGAAGAAAACUAACUGAAAUACCACAAGGAGAAUUAGCCAACCAUUUCUUUUGAAACUCUAUGGAUAUGUUUUCUCUAAAGAUAUUCUAAUGUUCAUCCCUCUUCCAGUAAACUUUGGAAAAAUC